rnacentral:rRNA from 1 species
UACGUAGGUGGCAAGCGUUGUCCGGAUUUAUUGGGUUUAAAGGGUGCGUAGGCGGCCCUAUAAGUCAGUGCUGAAAUAUCCCGGCUUAACCGGGAGGGUGGCAUUGAUACUGUAGGGCUUGAGUAAAGUUGAGGUUGGCGGAAUUGACGGUGUAGCGGUGAAAUGCGUAGAUAUCGGGAGGAACACCAGAGGCGAAGGCGGGUUACUGGGCUGAUACUGACGCUGAUGCGCGAAAGCUAGGGGAGCAAACGGG